rnacentral:rRNA from 1 species
UGAUAACAUAAGGGAAAAUAAUGAUAUUACCUUAUUAUUAGUGUCGUCCAAAACUGGUGCCAGAAGACUCGGUAAGGCCAGAGACACAAACGUUAAUCGUCUUAAUCAGGCGUAAAGGGUUUGUAGGCGGCUUUAAAAUUUACUUAUACAAAAAAAAAAAUAAUAAGUUAAAAAAUAAA